UGAAAGCAGUUCAGCAAUCUUAUAAUUUGGC
rnacentral:piRNA from 1 species